CUCCAGAAUAGCUCUUGGAAACGGGUGGUAAUGCUGGAUGCUCCAACUUGACGCAUGUCUUGUUGGGAAAGUGUUUAGUGGCAUGGGAUGGGGUCGCGUCCUAUCAGCUUGUAGGCGGGGUAAUGGCCCACCUAGGCUUCGACGGGUAGCCGGCCUGAGAGGGCGGACGGCCACAUUGGGACUGAGAUACGGCCCAGACUCCUACGGGAGGCAGCAG
rnacentral:rRNA from 1 species